UAUAAUUAAGCUAUCGGAUAAGUAAAACGACUCACUGUUUAGAGAGAUUGCGGUUGUUGCAAGCAAUUCUUUGAGUCGUUUGAAAUUCUACCGUGUUUAAAAUUCGUAAAAUAAAUGAGAUACCGUCAGGUAAAGUAGGUGGAACCGUGCGUCAUGCGCCCUACUA
rnacentral:misc_RNA from 1 species